rnacentral:rRNA from 1 species
AACGAACGCUGGCGGCAGGCCUAACACAUGCAAGUCGAGCGAGACCUUCGGGUCUAGCGGCGGACGGGUGAGUAACGCGUGGGAACGUGCCUUUUGCUUCGGAAUAGCCCCGGGAAACUGGGAGUAAUACCGAAUGUGCUCUACGGAGGAAAGAUUUAUCGGCAAAAGAUCGGCCCGCGUUGGAUUAGGUAGUUGGUGGGGUAAUGGCCUACCAAGCCGACGAUCCAUAGCUGGUUUGAGAGGAUGAUCAGCCACACUGGGACUGAGACACGGCCCAGACUCCUACGGGAGGCAGCAGUGGGGAAUCUUAGACAGUGGGGGAAACCCUGAUCUAGCCAUGCCGCGUGAGCGAUGAAGGCCUUAGGGUUGUAAAGCUCUUUCACCGGGGAAGAUAAUGACGGUACCCGGAGAAGAAGCCCCGGCUAACUCCGUGCCAGCAGCCGCCGUAA